CAGUCGCCACGGGAACACGUAGGUGGCGAGCGUUGUCCGGAAUUAUUGGGCGUAAAGGGAGCGCAGGCGGACAUAUAAGUCCAUCUUAAAAGUGCGGGGCUCAACCCCGUGAGGGGAUGGAAACUGUAUGCCUUGAGUGCAGGAGAGGAAAGCGGAAUUCCCAGUGUAGCGGUGAAAUGCGUAGAUAUUGGGAGGAACACCAGUGGCGAAGGCGGCUUUUUGGCCUGUAACUGACACUGAGGCGCGAAAGCGUGGGGAGCAAACAGGAUUAGAUACCCCCGUAGUCCCUGUCUCUUAUACA
rnacentral:rRNA from 1 species